rnacentral:rRNA from 1 species
UACGGAGGGUGCGAGCGUUGUCCGGAUUUAUUGGGUUUAAAGGGUGCGUAGGUGGGUGACUAAGUCUGGUUUGAAAGCAGGUGGCUCAACCAUCUGAUGUGGCUGGAAACUGGUGAUCUUGAAUGGGUUGGCGGUAGCCGGAACGGGUCAUGUAGCGGUGAAAUGCAUAGAUAUGACCCAGAACACCGAUUGCGAAGGCAGGCUACUACGACUUGAUUGACACUGAGGCACGAGAGCCGGGGUAGCGAACAGG